AGUUUGAUCAGUGGCUCGAGGACGAACGCUGGCGGCGUGCUUAAACACAUGCAAGUCGAGCGGAAAGGCCCUUUCGGGGGUACUCGAGCGGCGAACGGGUGAGUAACACGUGAGUAAUCUGCCCUUGGCUUUGGGAUAACUCCGGAAACGGUGGCUAAUACCGGAUACGACGUACUCAGGCAUCUGAUGUGCGUGGAAAGUCUUUUCGGCCAGGGAUGUGCUCGCGGCCUAUCAGCUUGUUGGUGGGGGUAAUGGGCCUACCAAGGCUUCGACGGGUAGCCGGGCCUGAGAGGGUGACCGGCCACACUGGGACUGAGACACGGCCCAGACUCCUACGGGAGGCAGCAGUGGGGAAUAUUGGACAAUGGGCGGAAGCCUGAUCCAGCAACGCCGCGUGAGGGAUGACGGCCUUCGGGUUGUAAACCUCUUUCAGUACCGACGAAGCGCCGAUGAUGGUGGUGACGGUAGGUACAGAAGAAGCACCGGCCAACUACGUG
rnacentral:rRNA from 1 species